UUCCUGGUGACUCAGACGGUAAAGGCUCUGUCUGCAGUGCAGGAGACCAGGGUUUGAUCCCUGGUCAGGAAG
rnacentral:tRNA from 1 species